AAACUUAAAUCCCGAGUGGACGAGUUCGACAUCACGCCCUGUUCCGUCGAUUCCGAUAGCUUUCAAUACCUACCGCUCUCACGAAGCCUUCGUUGAACUUCCUGCAAACGAUGUGAAAUGCUGCCGUAAUAUGUAGGUACUCACGGUGUGAAAAAUAGUUACACAAGAGUUCGACUAUCAACAUAAUAUAUUAUUUAUAUUAGUGGAGUAAUUGUGAGGGGAAGCAAGGGAGGCACUUGCCAACUUGAUAUUUUUGUAGAUGGGCAAAAUGGCAACUUUCGUGUUUACUAGGACUGCGAAAUGCCAUUGACCAGAAAUUUAAUCUUCAGUCAUUUACAAUCCGAUCGCAGUAUAUCUAAAAAAUAUACAAAUAUGAGUGUAUUGGUAUAUGUGCGAGAUUUCGGAUGUGGACUUCGAUUAUCACGGGUUGCAUCAACGAUCAACGGUCACAUCAAUAUUCAAUAUCAUAAUAAGGAUUCGAGAGAAAAGCCGAUUCCCAGCUUUGUACAAAUAUUGUAGCGAGUCCAUACCUCUUGAAGUCUACUCAACUUGAAACGUAUAGAGGCCUAAAUAGGGCGUGGGGUAUUAUUAUUUAUUCACAUUGUUAUAAUAUAAUAUAUAUUAUAUACUUUUUUAUUAACGUAUAUACUCGUUCUUAAUUACUUUAUUUAUAUUUUUUCUUGGACUUUUUAAUCAAUCGAACUUUUUUUGUCCAAUAGUUAUUUGGUUUUGAGUGUAUAAUCCUUACGACUAUACUCUGGAAACAUCAAUACAUAAUUUAUAUUUUUGUGGUUGCUGAGGUAAUACGGCACACAUAAAUACCCAGGUACAUGAUACAAGUUUAUGAAAAAUCAGAUAUUUAUUUAUAAAUCAUAUGACAUAUAUGUAUUAGGGUAUUGUAAUAGCUCAAAUUGAAUUUAACUGAGUAAUUUUUCAAAAUAUUUUCGAUAUUUUGAAACACCAUGAAUUUAGUAGAAAUGAUUAAUAUUUAUAGUAUAAUAUUAUUAAAAUAUAAUUGCUUCUAGUUGAUUGUUUAUUUUUAAAGCUCGUGAUAACUUAUUAAUCUUUACUUAGGUAUCAUCGAUUUGACAGCUAGUUUAAAAGUAAUCCAUCAAGUUAAAAUUAUAAAUAUAAUUUUUGAAAUUUUUGGUUUUAAUGGUUUUUAACAUUAUUCUUUUAUAGUUACCUAGUAAAUACAAGGUUUUGAAUAAAAAAUAAUCUAAUACUAUAAUAAAAGUAAUAACACUAAUAAUUAACAAUACUAUAAUAAAUUCCUUUUGUUUUUUUUUAUAAAAUAAUAUUACUUAAAUAUAGGUAGGUAGGCAAAAGAUACUUUUUAUGUAUGUAAUCCAUUUUUUAAACUAAAAAAGUAGAUACAUUGUUUAUAAAGUGAGCUAAAACAAUAAUUUUUCCAUAUUAA